ensembl:lncRNA IL12A-AS1 IL12A antisense RNA 1
GAAGCUCCAGCCCUGUUGUCACCAAGCAGGUUCCCCCUAGGCAGAGCGCCAAGAAGCAGCCCAGGCGAUCCCAAGGCGCACAAGUGCUCUCACCAGGCUGCGCGCUGGCGGGUCGGUGCACAGGGACGGGGUCGCCGCCCACGCGCGCUUGGUUCAGGGAGCCCAGGCUGUCCCUACCCGCGGCUACAAAAGCUCGCCGAGUCUUCCUGUCCACCCAAUCGCCCCACAUGUCAGCGGUUGGUCGCCUCGCGGUGCAGUGCUGGGCACGCGAGCCCCUCCCGCAGUCAUUCUCAGCACAAGCACCAGCCUGGAGCCCCGCAGCGACAGAGCUGAGAGCCCCCAAGCCGCAGAGGUCGUGCGGAGCAGGCCUAAGGCAAUAGCUAAUUGAGACUAUGCAUCACUAUUAAGGCAUCUUCACUAAAGGGCGCUGUGGAAACGCUGCCUGAGAUGCAGACACCUGUCAGAAGGGGGCUAAAUUUCAAACAAGGAACGUGGUGUUGCAUCACAAUAAACAAUAUUUGCAGAUAUGCAAACUGGCCCCUUGCAUGCACAUCCUGGAGCACGUCCUGGAGCCUUUAGAGGAGACGGCUGCUGCUGUUCCAGUCUCUCCUUAGGCAGACUUGAGUUUCUACCCACUCUUCCCAAGCAGCCGCCCCUCCGCACCCGAGCGAGCCAAAGACCUGGCGGGCUGAGUACUCACUGCGCGCUGGACACAUGCUGAGCCGGCACUGCAGGGACACAGGGCGAGCCGCUGGAUGCAGACCUGUGGCCGCGGCAGUUGGGCUUAUCUUGCCCAUGAAGUUGCCUCUGAAGAACCAAGUCCAACUGUGUAUGCUGAGAGAUGUCUGGCUACUUCCUGAUUGACAGUUCUGGCAAGGUGGCAUUGGGCCCUGGCUUUUCCUCUGGAGGCAUCAUCACUUAUAGGAAAAUGUCCCCUGAAGUCCAAGGAUCAAAGCUGCUGGAACACUGAGAAGCUGAACAAAGGAGAACUGUUUCUCAUCAAACCCAGACUUCCAGACUUCCAAUAGGGUAGAAUGAGCAAGUCAGCAAAUCAUCUUCCUUGGAAACAGUGAUAAAACUAGAUGACAUUGUCAACAACAGCCAUUUCAGAAAUCUAGAAAAUGACCAAAGGCAAACAACAAACUGAGAAGCAUUUUUUUUUCCAUGAAAAAUCGCUCUAUUUCUGCAAAAAUAGUGGGAGUCUAUGGCUUCUCAUCCAGGGCUGUUUCUCUCCCCACCCCAGCUCAGUCAGUACAAAGGUUCUGGCAGCAUGAGGCAGACUGAACAGACCUGAAGUUUGAUUGCUGGAAGAAACUGACUCCAGGUUUGGCAGAGGGUGAGAAACCUACUCCCAGCCAUGUUGUCUGGUGACACAGUGACCUUAGGGACAAGUGAAUAGGGAAGGCCAGUGAUUCAUUAACCUGAGGUUGCAGUCCUGGUUGGGGAAAGCAUCAGAAUGGCAGAUAAGCUAGAAAUUUAGUAGGGAUAUGCUGGAAAUGAGACAACCCCAAAGGGGCUUGACCCCAAAGUUGUCCACACACCCCAGCUGCCUUCUGAGCAGAUGUAGGGAGAGACCAGAGAAGGCCUAGGCUAUCCACACAUCUCUGGCUAACCCAGGCUGUAAACCUGUGGAGGAGACACAAGAGGUGGAUUGAUUGCUAAUGGGCAUAUGGGGGAUCUUACUGGUUGAUAGGAACAUUCUCAAAUUGGAUUGUGGUGAUGCUUGCACAACUCUAAGUUUAUCCCAAAUUGCUAAAUUUUACACUAAAAAGGGGUGAACUUUAGGGUAUAUAAAUUAUACAUCAAUAAAGUUGUCAUAAAGCAUUCACAUUCUAAUAAAUGGCUCUAAGAAAUAUUGUUUUGAAAAUUUUCCUUUGGUAUAUUAUGGCACUCCAAAAUCAACUUCUGUCAGAACAAUAAUUAACUAUUUCUGAUUAUAGAUAUUGGUCAUCUACAAUGAUUUAUUCAGUCUUUUAUGUCCCGCAUAAGGGCUUAGAAUGCUUUAAAUUUCUAAGACCAUCAAUAGCCAGGACUCACCUGAAAACUAUAUAUAUUUUUAAAAAGACGUAUGCUCUGGGACACCAUAUGCUAACAUUUGUUGAGCACACAGUUUGCUACAGAGGUUAAGAGGUGUACUAUUUAAAUCUAACUUCCUCAAGGGGCUCACACUAUUACAAUAGUAAGCUAAAGAGAUAGAAGAAAAGUUUAUAUAUAAAAUCUCAGUACAGGGAUGGGGUUGGUAACAAAUAAGAUGCUGCCACUUACACUUGAUAAAUUAUAAAAUAUCUAUUGCAUUCAUUAUUGGAGGCUGACCCUUAUAAAAACCUUGUGGGUACUGCAAAAGACAGGGAAACCGAGGCUCAGAGUGGUUCAGCAACUUGUGUGAGGUCACAUACCUCAUGUCAAAGCUGAGAUUUAAAUGUGUGUGGCUAGGCUGGACAUGGUGGCUCACACCUGUAAUCCUAGCACCCUGGGAGGCUGAGGUGGAACACACUCCUUGUUUGUGUCCAGGAGUUCAAGACCAGCCUGGACAACAUAAUGAGACCUCAUCUCUACAAAAAAUAAAAAAUUAGCUGGGUGUGGGGCCACGCACCCCAAGGUUCUCAGGAGGCUGAGGCAGGAGGACUGCUUGAAAUCAGGAGGUUGAGCCUGCAGUGAGCUGUGAUCAUGCCACUGCACUCUGCCUGGGUGACAGAGUGAGACCCUGUCUCAAAAAAAUAAAAAUAAAAACAAAUAAAUGUGUGUGGCUGAUUCUCAUGCAAAUAUUGGUGAAGAUCUGGUAGUGAUGUAAAUUGGUAGAACCUCAGUGGGAGAUAACUUUGCAAUAGCUAUCAAAUGAAAACUGUGUAUAUUCUUUGUUUCAGGAAUUUCACUUCUAAGAUGUUUUUAAUAUAGCAGAAAUGGUUAUCCAUAAAGAAUUAGUUCAAUACAUUUUAUCUGUAAAAUGGAAUGCAAUGCGGCCAUUAAAAAGGAGGCAUAUCUGAGUAUACUAAUAUAGAAUGGUCUGCAAGAUAUAUUAACUUUUUUACAAAAGCUGUUCCCCACACUUCUUCGUGUUGUUUGAAAAGACGUGAAGGCUCAGACAGGCCUUCAUUGUGACUUGCCCAGGAUGAGUAGCAGGGCUGGAAUUCCUACUCAGGAGUCCAGAUUUAUAGGCUUCCUCUUUGCUUUAUCCUAUUUCAUAGCUGUCUCUGUUGCCAGAGCCAUGGAAGGGCUUUAAGGAGUGGAAAGGUUGGUAAUUGGGUUUUCCUUUUUGAAAGACCAUGAGGAACAAUGUGGAGGACGGACUGGAGUUGACCUAAGUGGAGGCUCAGACUCUGGGUAGAAGGUUUUUAUAGCAGUUCUUAUGAGAACUGAUUACUUCACUAGGGCAUUGGCCCUAGAACUUCUGAGGAGGAGAAGGGUGUGGAUUUACUUAGCAGGCAGCAAUGGCAGGACCUGGUGAUGAUCAUAUUUGAGGUGGUACAAGACAAGGAGUCAACAAUAAGUCCCGAGUUUCAGACUUGGAUACCUGGGUAGAUGGUAGGGCUGUUUGCUGAACAAGAGGAAACAGGAGAAAGAGCAGUUUUAGGGGAAACAAUCAUGGGAAUAGAUUUGAAAUGUCUUCCAGAAGCAGGUGGGAAAUGCCGGCUUAGAAUGCAGAAGAGCUCAGGGAUGGAGCUAAAUACAAGGAAGUCGUCAUCAGAGGUUGAAGGAUUGCUGUGAAAGGAUCUUUUCUUUUGGGUUCCUUGGCCCCUACCCCUGAGUGUGAUUUCCAGGGUUUCUUAUUCGAAGGCCAUGAGCAGAAACUUCUCACGGCACGUCACCUCAUCCAAAUGCCACAGAAAUGAAAAGUGAAACCACUGGGGACAGACUCAGAAAUCAAAACAAAACAAAUUCUCCUCUCAGAGGCUUGGUUUCCAUUUGUGCCAGUGUAAUUAAACAAUUCUUUCUUUCUUUUACUUGGAACUCUUCAUUUGACCACCAGGAACUUCCCUCUGGCAGGGGCAACAGCCACUCCAAGGACUUACCCCAGAGAUUUCAGAGCAGAAGCAACGGCGUUUCCUCUUGAACUGUUAUUUCUCUGCCCAAGGAAUCUUCUUGACUGUCAUUCCACUAACCCUUCAUGGGAAAUUUGACCUCUGGGCUCUAUAACAGAUCUCAAAUUCAUAGUGAAACUGUGGAAGACUCCCAUUCAUUAAAAAUCCCAUUCAUACUGUGCAUGUGAAGUCAAGAAACCACAUUUUGGGUUGUAGAGGCAGCCACUCAAAAUGACCCUCCUGACCAGUUGUUCCUGUUAUAAUGUACAUUUCCUGUGAAUUCCAAGGAAUUCAUGAAUAGUGGAAAAAAAGAAGUAUUUUCUUAUUUCACUUUUUAUAUAGACACUAAAGCUUUGUUGGGAGGUUACAUGGGCAUGGGCCAGGGACAUUUUCUCAGUGGCAGCUAUCAACUGGGACUAUGAUAAAGUAUCAUGGGUGCAGAAUUUGUCUGGAUUCAAGGUAUCUAGAGAUUGUUUACUUGCUACAAACAGGAUCUAAUGCUGACUAGAUUGGUGACCUUGGCAAGCCACUUCAUCUUUCCAGGCUUCAUUUUUUUUUUCUCUAAGUAAAAGAGAAAUGGGAUCAAGUGAUUACUAAGUUCCCUUCUGGGCCUAAAAAGUUAUGAUUUUAUAAAUGACACUAAACUAAUUAGACAAAUAUGUUUUGAGAGCCUAUUAUGUGCCUGUCACUCUGCUCGGUCCUGGGGAAACUUACGACAAAGGCCAUAGUACAUUGCCCUGGUGGGCUACAAGAUCAUGUGUUCCAGGAGCAGCAACAGCCUGAGCUUUCUAUUUCUCUCUGUCACAUUCUUAGUUUGCUCAGUGUAAAAUGGAAUCAAAUUCCAACUCUUUAUUAUCUGUCUUCUCCACUAGUGUGGAGGGCAGCACUUUUGUUUCUUUUAUUCUUUGCUGUGUCUCCAAUACUUGGAAAAAUGCCCAAAACAUUUUUUGUGAUUGAUGUACAUGGUGCAAUGAUGAGGUACAAGUUUGAAGGAUACAUCUAAAGGUCAUGGAAGAAUGAGCUACAGGAAUGGUCUUUACACUGCAGUAUGCUUAUCUCAAAAGAGUUUACAAAGACUUUCCAUGGAUGUGUGGGCAUGGAUAGCUUUGGGGGAAUCAAUUUCCAGAUCCAGAACUUCCACAUGAACAAUUUCCCAAAGUUGAUCUGUCUGAAUGUCCACUGAGAGAGUUGUCCUGUCGGCUUCUUUCCCCUCUUAACUUUCUACACUUGCUCUCCUCUCACUUAAAGAACUAAUGAAUUUUUUUUUCUAGUCUUACUGAGAUGCAUUCUCUCAGGUGGUAAAAAGAAACAGAAGAAACCCUUGGUGGUAUAGGUACAGGCUUGGGUCAGUAAAUGGCUAUAAUGACUGGCUAAUAAGAUCCUGCCACUGCACUCCAGCCUAGGUGACAGACCGAGCCCCUGUUGCAAAAGAAAAACAACAAACAAACCCAAUAAUUUUUGAUAAUAGAUCACAAUGUGAUUUUGGUAUAUAAUUCAAAGGAAACUCAAAGAAUUGAUUGACAUUGCCGUAGCAAGAUUUUUCCCAUUUCCAUCUACUUAUUUUAAAGUUUUCUCAAGGUUUACAUCUAUAAAAACAAAUAAUAGAAAUAGAAUUGAUGGAGAACUCUGUCUCAUUCUGUCAAUAAAUAAUAUUAAUCAACAGAUACAUAAGUGAAUUGGAAAGACAAUAGGCUUCUUUUUCAACAAAAGGCACAUUUUCAAUACAGUUUUCCUAUUUAUUCUAUGUAAUUUUUAUCAAAGUUUAUAACGUUGUUAUUUUAAUCAAGUAAUGAUUAGAAAUUAUAAUAAUAACUCAAUAUAGAAUAAUUUUAUUUCUUAUAACUUUAUGGUC